UGAAGAAGAAAAAAAAUAGGAGAAGAAGGAAAAGAAAGAAGAGCAGGCAACAAUAAUAGCAAAAGCGUAGGUAGGUUGACCGUGAUAAUAGGUAAUAAUAACUACAACGACAAACGACAAGAAAGGGAAGAAGAAUAAGAGAAAAAAGAAGAAGAAGAAGAAGAGAAGCCAAAGUCAAUGGACACAACAAUAAUGAUGAACAAGACAACAACGAAGGAGAACGAAGAAGAAAUAGAAUAAUGAAAAAACAAAUGAGAGAAAGAUUCAACAUUAUUAUCACACAAAUAAUACAUAGAGCAUAAAAUCACUCUCUUUUUUUGACCUCAAAAUCAAUAGUAAACAAUCGCACAACAACUUCCAAAAAACUAAAGUUUUAGUUGAUAACACUUCAUCCAAC
rnacentral:lncRNA from 1 species